rnacentral:misc_RNA from 1 species
GGAAUCUGCAACCCCAAUUCCUAAGGACCCUCAAAGGUUUCGGCCCAAGAGAGCUGCAGUUUUGGUCUGCAUUUUUGAAGGUGAUGCUGGUGAUUUUCGUGUCAUUUUAACUAAGAGGUCGUCGCGAUUAUCUACUCACUCAGGUGAAGUUUCAUUGCCUGGUGGGAAAGCGGAGGAGGGUGACAAGGAUGAUGGUGACACAGCAACAAGAGAGGCAAAGGAAGAAAUUGGGUUGGAUCCUGCACUUGUUGAUAUUGUUACUGUUCUUGAACCAUUUUUGUCCAAGGUAUGAAAAUCUGUUGGCUAUUUAGCGAUAUACUAAUGGGGAAUUAUGUAUUCAAUUGAUAGAGAUACUGAAUAAUACUAUAUUUGUUUAUUCUACGUGAAAAUUCAUAGGAAAAGAGUGAUAACUUUAACUCAUUCUUGAUUCAUUACAAUACACUCUUCAUUCCAUUCUCUGUUGAGUUUGACAUGGCUUGCUUCUGCCUGAUCUAGAUUUGUACCACCUGAACUUUGGUAUAAAUUUCCAUUUCUUUUGCAUGUCAGUAGUUAAUUUCAUAUGUCGAGAAAUUUUCUGGUUCCCUUGUGGGGAAAUGUCCAAAAAACUAAAAGCAACAGAAUUCUUAAUUACAUUCCUGGUUUUUACUUCAGUUUAAAUGAUUUACUGUUACUGUGUAACUAUGAUGCACAUUUGAGAUGUAAAUUACUUAGGUUUGAAUAGACAGUUGCAUGGAACCAAUUAGCACAUGAUGACAUGAAAUAUUCUAUGGAUAUUUUUGUUAGGUGCUACUGAAAUUUAAAUGGCGUCUAUCUUUACCUUUUCUGUUUAGCAAUUGUUGGUUUUCUUUGCAGCAUCUCCUGAGAGUAAUUCCUGUUAUAGGCAUACUACGUGAUAAGAAAGAAUUCAAGCCCUCUCCAAAUCCUGGUGAAGUUGAAGCAGUAUUUGAUGCUCCAUUGGAAAUGUUCAUUAAGGAUGAAAAUCGAAGAGUAGAGGAGAGAGAAUGGAUGGGAGAAAAGUAUCUGGUUCAUUUCUUUGACUAUGAAACAGAGAAGAAGAAGUAUUUGAUAUGGGGUUUAACGGCUGGGAUUUUGAUUAGAGCUGCAUCAGUGGUCUACCAGAGGCCACCAGCUUUUGUGGAGCAGAAUCCUAAAUUCAGGUUUCCUGGAGAUGUAUAACACUGAUCCGUUGAAGAAUUGUGGAAAUAUUUGUUGGGUUGUACUCCAAAUAAUCAAAGCUGCUACAAUAAAAUAGUGUGAUCUAUUCAAAAUAAUUAUUCAGACUACUAAAACAGAAUGGUUAUGAUGUAGGCACAGCAUGUCACGUUUUUCAGUUAAUUGUGAACUGAUGGGACUAAUUUGUUUCAAAUAAAAGGUGUAGCCGGCAUCAAGUGUCAUUAACUUCUUGAUGGGGAGAAAGUUUUCGAUGAAGCUGUGGCCUUCGACUUCUGGGUUAGUUUUCUUGCAUGAUUUCUCAGAUAUAACUCUCAAAUAUAAGUUAUUGGAGGAAUUGAUCCCAGCUUUCAAUUUUACGUGGCCACCAAUGAACAAACACAUCUACAAAGAGAUAAUUCUUCAUGAAACUUGAGAAUGAAGGGUGCCUAAGGCCUUGUUAUGUAUUCAACUUGCUCUUUUUGUCAUUUAAAGGUCUUGUUAUGUAUUACGUUUUUAAUUUUUUGUUUCCCCUAAAUAUCAUUUGUUGUUUCUAAUUUAUGAAGCAAUGUUGAUUAUAGUAGACAUAAUUUAUUCAAGUCUACAUUAUAGACCUUGUUUUCUUAUAAAGACAUGGACUCAUGAAAAUGCAAAUCCCAUUAAUCUAAACUUUAACCAAAAUCUGAGAUUAGCUGCUUUUUUGAAAUUGGGGGAGUGAAAACUCAGAUCUUAGUAUGCUUUCAACUACUGGACUAAGCAGGCUAGGCAAUUCAAGAUUAGGUGUUAGAUUACUACUUUCUGGUUUAUUUUGCUGCUAAUGAUGAAUGCCACUGCUGAUAACAGAAAAGCAUGGAUGGCACAUGAUUGGUAGUUUUUGCUGGUGGAGCAGCAUCUCUUUCAAGUUUACCAGUCUCUUGACUUCAUAAAAAAUUGUAACUACUGAAACAAGCAGAAAUGAAGAUUGCAAAUCCCAGUUGGGUUAGUUGGAAGAUUCAUUCUUGACCUCUUUGAAGAGCCUGCUAAUUCAAGUGGGCUAUAUCCAGGUCUCAUUAUUAUUUAUGGAUCCAGGUUCAAGCCUUUCUAUCCAGUUGUGACUUCAAAGAGACAUCGCUGUAACCGUACUGUGUGCCUCUUCCUAAAAGAAAAGGAGAUUUAUGGUGCAUCCCCGCCUACAUUUCUACUCAAAAUUCGUAAUUUUUAACAAUUAACGGAACCCAGUUCAGCAUAGAUCCGGAGAUAUAGGAACCCUAACAUGGGAGAGAAAUCCCAGAAACUGUUGUCCUUAGCUCAACAGCUCCGCCUUUAUAAGCCUCUUUACUCUCUAAACGACCCAACCAAAGAGCAACAGCAGCAAGGUGUCCCAGAAGAAGGAAGAAAUUCAGUUUCCCAGAAUUUGAAUUCCACUACAGAAUCUGCAGGAAUCAACAACAGAGCGGCAGUUCUCAUUUGCAUCUUCGAAGGAAAUGAUAGCGAUAUGCGUGUAAUCCUCACAAAGCGCUCCUCGACUCUGUCUUCUCACUCUGGUGAGGUUGCUUUGCCGGGCGGGAAAAGAGAGGAAGGCGAUGCUGAUGACAUAGAGACUGCCUUGAGGGAGGCUAAGGAGGAGAUUGGCUUGGAUCCUUCUCUUGUUGAUGUUGUUGCUGUUCUUGAACCAUUUAUAACUUUGCGUGGCAUAGCAGUAGUUCCGGUGGUGGGUAUACUAUUUGACAAGAGAGCAUUCGUUCCAUCUCCAAACACCAAUGAAGUAGAAUCAAUCUUUGAUGUUCCCUUAGAAAUGUUUCUCAAGGUUCUAUGAUUAUCAAUUAGAUUUCAAAAUUAAUCUGCCAAGCUUUCAUUAUUGGCUUAUAGUUCUGAAUGGUGAAUGCAGGAUGAGAACCGCAGGGCAGAGGAGAAACAACGGAUGGGAUACAAGUAUUUACUCCAUUUCUUUGACUAUCAAUCAGGGAGCCAAAAGUUUGUGAUUUGGGCUUUAACGGCUGGAAUCAUGAUUAGAGUUGCAUCAAUUGUCUAUCAACGAGCACCCACAUUUUCAGAGCAGAGGCCCCCAUUUUGGACUGGAGUUUUUAAAAAAGAUACUUCAUGAAUAGAAGAAUAUACUUCAUGUGCCAAAAGGGUGAAAAUUUGUGAUUUCACUCUGCAAGAAGAUGCAGAAGUUGAAAGAGUCUUUUGCCAACUUCAGAAGUAUAGUACCUCUCAGACGAAGAGAUGAGUAAACUUUCAAAUUUCUGACAGCAGAAUAUGUGUGCAUAGAAUUCAUUCUCUUCAAUUUUGUACAAGAUCCUUGACAAAAACAGGAACAACCUGUCUACAUUUGUAGAAUAUUCAAGGGGUAGGAAAUCAGGGUAGAAUGAUGUGUAAUAUAAUCGCUUUAAGGGGUAAAAGAGAUAAUUUAUAUUUUAUUUUUAUUUAUGUAAUUUUAGGGGUGUGAUGGGUGAGACAUAUUGAUGUAUCCUCCUGCCACAAGGCAUUAUGUCCCAAAUGCUCUUUAGGGGGGAGUGACUGGUUGGCCUUGGGUGGGCAACUGGCCUAGCUAGUCACUGUGCUUGCCGUGUCCCGUUGUGUGCUCCUUAUAGGUUUCCCCCCUGCCUAUAAUGGACUGGUUGUAAUUAUGUUCCAUGAAUGAAUGAAGUAGCCUUUUCAUGAAAUGUUUGUGCCUUGCUUUGAUGUGCCUUUCAUGCUUGUGAUGCUUGCUUAUUUGUUGCCCCAUUUAUACGAAAUGCUUGUGAUACCGCCCCAAACUAGCUUAACUUGGCCUAAUGCUAACCAUGUCUCUAAUUUCUCGCAGUUGUUGUGAGAUUCUUGUGGGCUGACUUGUCUUGAAGAGUUCAAGCCAAGUGCCACACGGUCCCUACUGAGUGCUGAAGCUGGGCCCGUGACACUUUGCAGCCAGGCCCAAUGGAUU